rnacentral:rRNA from 1 species
AGAGUUUGAUCCUGGCUCAGAUUGAACGCUGGCGGUAUGCUUAACACAUGCAAGUCGAACGGUAACAGGUCGCUGCGAUCCCUUCGGGGUGAACUUGACGCUGACGAGUGGCGGACGGGUGAGUAAUACUUAGGAAUCUACCCAGUAGUGGGGGACAACACGACGAAAGUCGUGCUAAUACCGCAUACGCCCUAAGGGGGAAAGUGGAGGAUCUUCGGACUUCACGCUAUUGGAUGAGCCUAAGCCGGAUUAGCUUGUUGGUGGGGUAACGGCCCACCAAGGCAACGAUCCGUAGCUGGUCUGAGAGGACGAUCAGCCACACUGGGACUGAGACACGGCCCAGACUCCUACGGGAGGCAGCAGUGGGGAAUAUUGGACAAUGGGCGCAAGCCUGAUCCAGCAAUACCGCGUGUGUGAAGAAGGCCUGCGGGUUGUAAAGCACUUUCAGUAGAGAAGAAAAGCUUAGGGUUAAUACCCCUGGGUCUUGACGUAACCUACAGAAGAAGCACCGGCUAACUCCGUGCCAGCAGCCGCGGUAAUACGGGGGGUGCAAGCGUUAAUCGGAAUUACUGGGCGUAAAGCGCGCGUAGGCGGUCUGGUCAGUCGGAUGUGAAAGCCCCGGGCUCAACCUGGGAAUUGCAUUCGAUACUGCCCGACUAGAACAUGGAAGAGGGAAGUGGAAUUUCCGGUGUAGCGGUGAAAUGCGUAGAGAUCGGAAGGAACACCAGUGGCGAAGGCGGCUUCCUGGUCCAAUAUUGACGCUGAGGUGCGAAAGCGUGGGGAGCGAACAGGAUUAGAUACCCUGGUAGUCCACGCCGUAAACGAUGAGAACUAGAUGUCGGGAGGGUUUAGCCUUUCGGUGUCGCAGCUAACGCGUUAAGUUCUCCGCCUGGGGAGUACGGUGGCAACACUAAAACUCAAAGGAAUUGACGGGGACCCGCACAAGCGGUGGAGCAUGUGGUUUAAUUCGAUGCAACGCGAAGAACCUUACCUGCCCUUGACAUUGACAGAAUCCCGUAGAGAUAUGGGAGUGCUUCGGCCUGGAAAACAGGUGCUGCAUGGCUGUCGUCAGCUCGUGUCGUGAGAUGUUGGGUUAAGUCCCGCAACGAGCGCAACCCUUGUCCUUAGUUGCCAGCACGUAAUGGUGGGAACUCUAAGGAGACCGCCGGUGAUAAACCGGAGGAAGGUGGGGAUGACGUCAAGUCAUCAUGGCCCUUAUGGGCAGGGCUACACACGUGCUACAAUGGCCGGUACAGAGGGUUGCCAACCCGCGAGGGGGAGCUAAUCCCAGAAAGCCGGUCGUAGUCCGGAUUGGAGUCUGCAACUCGACUCCAU